ACAGCCACAACACGAUGAAUCACAGCUUCACAUACGAUCACCGAAGUUAAGCAAUGUCGAGCCUAGUCAGUACCCAGAUGAGUGACCGUUUGGGAAUAUUAGGGGUUGUAAG